GGAACACGCGACGUCACUCAAUGUGACUAAAUUGGCAGCGAAGACGAAUAAUCGACGAUAAUACGAUAUUCGACCAAAUCUGUUAAAAUCGCUGAAAGCUUUAAAUGAUGAAUAUUGCGUGAGCUCGAGUUUCGAUUUACGGAAGCGGUUUACGUGUGCAUGUCGUUGGGACUAUCGCUGUUACGAAUCUAGAUUUCCAUUGGCUUGGCGCCGAUUACCGGGUCUGACUACUGCUAGAUCUGUGCAAUAUAAUCGUGGCUUUCACUUUCGAUUUCCGUGAACGUCGGUUCGCGAACUCCAAAACGACGGAAACAAUCUCGCGCGCGAGAGGUUUCUAGAUCGCCGAGAUGAUCUCGAAAUCUAGUUGGAUUGGUGCUGUUUUAUUGCGAAGGCGGAACGAUUACGCGAAUGAAAACGCAAUGAGAAAGCGCCCGAAUGCAUCAACGGAAAAAUCGACGAGAUUAGAUACUCGUAACUACGCGCCGUAACGUUUCGUAAUCAACUUGAUAGCGCCCCUACCCUUCGCGUCGGUUAUUCUGGUCACCAUUCCUGAUUACCGUAUUAGGAAAAUUCUUAUAGACCCGUUAAUAGACCAUUGCAUGCGCAACGCGUAUCGUCGGACCGUAAAAAAAAGUAGUCGCGAUUGCAUAAAAUCCGCGCGGACGACUAAACACGAAAUAUUGCAUGCGAUUUAUAAUUAACCGAUAAUCGAUCAUAUUCAUUUCUCUUAAUUAUGAAAAAUUAAAUCCCCCGAUUUGAAUCGCGAAUGUCAAUUUCAGAUACGCGAGUUUGCGUAUCCGAAAUCGACCAUUCGUUAUUAAAAUUGGGGGAGUUAACUUUUCAUAAUUAAGAAAAAUCCGCGGUUUAUAAUUUAAUUGGGUCUCAGGUCAUAGAAUUCGUAGGAAUUUUCUGAGAUUAAAAAAGACAAAUCUCAACAAGUUACGUCACGUACCUGGCGUUCAAAGUCGUAACGCUUACGGCUCGUAAUACGGGAAGCGGCGUUUAGAAAGGAAGUGUUUCGUGCGAUCGUAGAACUGUCGAGCAGCCGGCUGAUUAGAUAUAUCGGUGUAUACGUAACCGAUAUUUCGCGAUCGCGUGCGAGCGGUAUUAGACGGCGCGUGUGUCACGCCCGGUUUGAGACCGUUGCAAACUUAAAUGGCACCGCGGCCUGGAAUUAUGCAUAUCUAACGACUACGCGAAACUUUCACAUCCCGUUUACGCGGAAUGAACGACUAUCUCGCGGCCGCGCUCGUGUGACGUGGUCGACCGAGCGUUCCCGCGACCUCGCGAUCGGAAAAGGAUCAAACGUGCCGAUUUCAAAAUCGCCUUGCGCGAUUGAGCGCCGAGUAUAUUUCCAUCGGCCCUGAGAAAUUGCAAAGGCAUUCCGAGGUCUGGCGCAACGGUUAAGAUAUCAUUAUCGACAAUGUUAUUGAUAAUAUAGGACGGUACGAGGCAGAACGUAAUUCCGGUGUUAUCCUGAUUCAAUGGAUAUUGUGUGACGUGAAAAGACGGGGAAAGUCAAGAGAAAUGCAACGGCAGAGGAUGCAAGAGUGAUGGCAAGGUAUGUGCAAUCCCGAGAACGCGAGAUUCGUGAAUGAAGAUGCGUCUACGCGGAAUAGAACUGGUCGCGUGUUAAUCCGCUCACUCAAUGACGAUGAUGAUACUACCUACAACCGGUUUUCGCCGAGAGUCGGCGCGCGAUGCGGUAAGAUUUCUUUGCUUUAUGAAUGAAAGUCGUCGGUUCGUCUGUUUGUUGCGUCUGUCUGCCUGUGGAGAAAAACAGCGAGAGAGUAUCCCAACCGUGACAUUGAAUCGUCGUCGGUUUUAUCGCGGACUCAAUAAGAAGCGGAGAAACGAAAAAGUACAAUGGAGACAUUAAUAGAUGUAUUAUCGACGUAUAUAUUUAUGAAAGAAAGCUGUCGAGCUUGCAAAACGAUCGUAUUUACUUUCCGUUUGCAGAUAUGUCACCGCGUUCAAAUCUUGCAUUAACCUAGUUUCUUGUUUGGUUUCAAUUAAGGAGCGCCAGAACGAAAUAUUACGGAAAUAAGCGCUUACAGAGAUAAACUUUCGCAGUGAUUACAAGAAAGGGCAGAAUUUUAUGAGAUUCCAUUAAGGACUCAAUGUUAUUCCAAGAAUCAAAGAGUUUUCAGAUCGACACUGUUUAUUCACGGCGAAGAAGAGAAGUAUCCAAUCGAGAAACUAUAAUAAUUUCGAUCGAAAAAAAAAACGCGUGAUUUUGAGAAUAAAU